GCUUUCUCUCUCCUUCUUGGUACCAGGUCCUGAGCUGCUUUCCUUUGCCAUACUGUCUGCCAUGAUGUUCUGCCUCACUGUGGUCCCUGAGCUAACGGAGUACGCUGUUUAUGGAUUGAGACCACUGAAACUGUGAGCGUCAAAUAAGUUUUUCCUUCUAUAAAAUUGUUCUUGUCAGAUUUUUAUUUUUGUUCACAGUGGUGAAAAAGCUAAAAUACAUAUUCAUUAUUCAAACAUUUUGAAAAUAUAAAAGGUAAAAAAAAUUAAGAAAGUGGAGAUGCUAUCUGGAUUUUACCAUUACAAAUUGUAUAUAUGUAUCAAAUUAUCAAACUGUACCCAUAAAUAUAUAUAAUUACAAUAAUAAUUAAUGAAUUAAAAAGUCUCUCUCUACACUAUUUUCCAUUCAUAGGUCUCCUCUGUUUUCUUCUCCCAAUUCACUAUUACUGAAUUCUUAAAGUAAUUUCAGACAAAUACAUAUAGAAAAUACUAAUAUAUAUUCUAUUUUUUCCUUUUACGUAUAAAAGGUACCACAUAAUAUAUAUUUUUCUACACCUUGUAUUUUUCAUUAAAAAUAUCUUGGAGAUUUUUCUAUAUCAAUACGGUACAUAGUACAUUCUCAUUCUCUUCCUAUGCAAAUUUUUUUAAGGCCACAUAAUAUUCUACUGCAUGAAUGAAUCACUAUUUAUUUAACUCAUUUCAUAUGAAUAAACAUUGGGUUGUUUCCACUCUUGCUAUUGCAAGUAAUGCUGCAAUGAAUAACCUUGUACCUAGGUCAGUUUUUAAUUUUUAAUUUUAUUUUUAACGGAUAAUAAUCACAUAUAUUUAUGGGUAUAAUGUGAUAUCACAAUACAUGUAUACAUUGUGGAAUUAUUUAAUCCAGCUGUUUACCAGGGCAUUGUAUGUGUCAAGUACAUUCAUUUGAUAUAUUAAUUUAAAAAGGGGUUGUGGGUCAAAGAUAGGUACACUUAUCAGAUUGACAGAUCUUGCCAAAUUGUCCUUGUUAAAGUUUUACCCAUUUAUAAAUUUAUAAGAUAAACUAUCAAACUUUUAAAUUUUGGAAAAUAUAAAUGACCACCUUCAUAUUCAUUGUCUAUUUUUCUUUUUGGUUUUGGGGUUUUUAAAUCUUACAUAUUUCUGGUAGUGCUUUGUAUAUAAAAGAUAUUAAUAUAUGUGAUAUGAGUUGGAAGUACUUUUCCCAGUUUGUCAUUUAUCUUCUGAUUUUUAUUAUGGUGAAGUUUCUUUUUUCUUUUUCUCUCUUUCUCCUUUUUUCCCCCACAUGAAAAAUUUUUGACUUUGAGUCACAAUUAUAAGAACGUUCCAGGUUAUUAAGAAAUUUUCUCAUAGUUUUCUUCUACUAAUUUUAGUUACUUAGUUUUUGUAUUUAAAGGUAUGAUGUCUUCGUAAUUUAGUAUACAGUAUAAAGCAUACAUCCAGUUUUAUUCCAGAUGGCUACCCAGUUACACCUGUACCAUGUCUUGAAUAGCCCUCUGUUAUACCUGGUAAUUUACAAUGUCACUCUUUUCAAAUCCUGUAUGCAUCUGGGUCUACAAUUUCAUCUGUUUUGUUAAUCUCUGUGGACAUUUAUGGGCCAGUUCUACAUUGUUUUAAUUACUGAGGCUUUUUUUUUUUGUACUGGGGAUGGAACCCAGGGAUGCUUUACCAUUAAGUCACAUCUCAGCCAUUUUUAUAUUUUAUUUUGAGACAGAGUCUUGCAAAGUUGCUGAGGGCCUCACUAAAUUGCUGAGUCUAGCCUCAAAUUUGUGAUCUUCCUACCUAAGCCUCUGGAGUUGCUGGAAUUAUAGGCAUGCCCCUCUUGAGACUUUUUAUUGUGUUUUAAUAUCUAAUAGGACUAAGAAUUCCACUUUCUCCCACACAGACAUAUAUAUUUCUCUCCUUUUCAGACAUUUCCUGGGUAUUCUUCCUCUGACCUCAAUAUAUAUUUGAGAAUUAUCAAGUUUAAAAGGAAAAUAAAUUGAUUUUUUUAAAAAAUUGGGAUCGAGGGCUGGGAUUGUGGCUCAGCGGUAGAGCACUCACCUAGCACAUGCGGGGCCCUGGGUUCGAUCCUCAGCACCACAUAAAAAUAAAUAAAACAAAGGUAUUGUGUCCGACUACAACAAAAAAAUAAAUAUUAAAAAAAUUGGGAUUGAGUAAAAAUAUUAAAUCAACUUAAAGAUGUGAUUUUUAAUAAUUUGAAAAUUUGAGACCUAGAUAUGUCUUUCUGCUCAUUCAAAAAUUAUUUGAAUUCUGGGGUGUUUGUUUUAAAGUUUUCUUUUCUUUCUUUCUUUUUUUUUUUUUAAUAAAUGUCCUACCUCUUAAGUUUAGGUGGACACAAUAUCUUUAUUUUACAUUUAUGUGGUGCUGAGGAUUGAACCCAGUGCCUCAUGUAUGCUAGGCCAGCAUUCUACCACUGAGCCACAACUCCAGCCCCAGUUUUAAAGUUUUCUACAUAUAGUGCUGAUACAUAUUUUGUUCAAUUUAUUUCUAAGUAUUUUCCUUUUUUUUUCUUGCUACAUUAGAUAAAGUCCUUCAUCUUUUUAUCUUCCAGGAGGUUAUUGUUUGUAUAUAUGAGAUUUAUCAGUUUCUCUAUAUUAAUUUUGUAUCUUUUUACUUUACUGAAUUGUCUUAUUAUGUUAAUUUUCCAGUUGAGUCUUGGGUUGAAAAAACAUAGUCAUAUCAUCUGUAAGUAACAGAAGUAUUUUUCUUCCUUUCCCACUUUAUACUUGAAGUCUUUUUCUUCUCUUCCUCCUCUUCCUCCUUGUCCCUCCUCCUACUCUUCCUUCUUCUUCUCCUUCACAUUGAACCCAUGGAUUUGUGCAUGCUAAGUGUGGCUCUACCACUGAGCUCCACCCCCAGUUCCAUUGAAGUUUUUAUCUUGUCUUGUUAUGAUUUCUAGGACAUUCAGUAAAAUUUUACUAAUAAUAGUGACAGUGAGCACUCUUGUCUUAUUUCCAACUUCAGUCUGUAGCAUUUCUCCAUCAAGUAGAACUCUGGCUAAGUGUGUUUUAUCAUGUUAAAGAAGUAUUCAUCUGUUCCUGUUUUACUGAGUGCUUUCUAUCAGGUCGUUGAAAUUAUGAACAUUUUAAAUAAAUACCCUCAACAAUAUUCUGUUAUUUUGACCUUUCUGUCCUCUGGUCCUUCAAUCCCUUGUUCAUGUCUCCAACAGCUGGUCCUAACCAGAAACCAGAGGGAAAGGGAGUUCCUAAUAGUCAGCUUCCUAGAGCCCAUGGUAGGACAGGGAAGGGUAAAGGAGUAGAUCUGGAGGCACAGACAGAAUGUAUCCAGUAUAGAUGCCAGUAACAGAAAACAAGACAACCUCUCUUCAUUAAUUGAAAACAAAAAGAUUGUUAUGGGUGGCAAAAGUAAUCUUCUUGAAGUUAAUGGCAUUACUUUUGUUUAUUGGGGGAAAAAAUGAAAGAAAAUUAUAUGAUCUUGAACAUUUUUGCAUAGCUAGUAUCAGCAUUUUUCUGAUCUGAUGUUAGCAGGCCUAAAUUGCAUUUCCUGAGCCUGAACUCCCUUUUAGGAUUGACCUUCUUGACCCCUCUAUUUAUUACCUUAUUUUAAAAACAUUUUCACUCUUUCCUCAGACCUAAAAAUUAUGUUUUAGUGGGAUGGAUAUCACAUGGCUCAAUUUUCAGCCCAGGAACCAGACACUAUAUCUUCUGGGAAGGAUCCAGCAAAACACACCCACUUCCCUGGCACCUUGGCCAGUCUCCAAGAGUGAUCCUUUCAGUCCUGCCUCAGAUGCCCCCUUGCAUCAACACACCUGGUUUUGGGGGUAGUGAUUUCACCACUUGAUGCUUUCCCUGAUAGGCUCAUUCUUUUUCUGCCAGAUGUUUGGAAACUGUUCCAGACUCCAUAGCAAUCCUGGCUCUUUAUUCGUAGAUUACAUUUUUGGGAGAUAUCAUGGAUUACAGAGAGGCUGGCAGACAAAAUACAGAACCCUCAGUUACAUUUUAAUUUCAGAUAAACAACAAUAUGGUGUUUCCAUGUGCCAUAUAAGUCAAAUAAGAUAAACAAAUGGUUGUUUAUCUGAAACUUGAAGUUGACUGGUCCUCCUGUAUUUUUCUUUGCUAAAUUUGUCAACCCCUGUCAUAAAGUGCUUCCCAAAAUAAUCCUCUACUAUGCUCCCUGCAGCUACCUCCCUUUCCCCCAACUCCAAAAUUUCUCCCCCAGAAUUAGUUUCAGAAAAGUUUUAAGACAGCCCAGGAGGGGUGUUAAUUCUACUGGUCACAGCUGAGAUUCACUUCCAACUGAAUUUUAAUUUUAACCCCCAUUUGCAGAGAUUAAUUAAUCAGAUCAGUAAAUUUGUUACUUUAGCACUAAGGACAUUUCAAUGGUGGCUGAAAACAAGGGUGAAUUAUUGAAAAAAUUAAAUGUUGUAAGGUAUGUGUAAGGGUGGGGUGGAGGUGGGGAGUUCAGGGUAGCUUAAAGGAAUGCAUGCAGGAAAAAGAAUACUGAAAAAAAUAUUAACAUUUCUGACAGUUUUGCCUGGCUGGAGUCUUGGUAUUCUUUGGUGUAGUGCAUGACUUGGAGCCUGGAUCCCACAGUACAGAAAGCAGAAGAGGCUGUGGAGGGAACAACUGCUAAGCAACCAAGUACUGGAGGCAAAGUAGCCCAGGAGGAGAAGUAAAACCAAGAAAUUUUUAAAAAUUAGGUGCUUGACGUUUAAGGAAAAAAGUCCAGAGUUAGUCAAGGAUGAUUGCUUAUUGCAGGAUUAAUAUGACAAAACUUCUGAAAAAGGAAGUAAGGGUAGCACGUGGUACCCUGCUGAUAUGUUUCCUUCCCAAGUACUUCUCCAUUCCUAGCUUUUAUGCCGCCAUACAUAGCAGGGACAGCAACAACGCUCUCCCUAAAGGCUUUAUCUCCAUGAAAUGAAUACACCAGACCACAGCCUUAUUUUCUGAGAUUGACUCUAUGUAACUAGCUCUCCCAAAUUCUGUGGCCUGAGAGGCUGAGAGUUUGGUCUGUCUUAAGUCAGAUCCAAUACAAUGUUUCCACGUGCCAUAUAAGUCUAUGCCUUAAGACUAUUUAGGGGAACCAGCUUAGCAAAACCAUUUUAAUGGUCAUUUUCCUAUCCAGAAUUUUUGUACCAAGCAGCUUGGGGACUUCAGUGCAAGGGUCUGCUGAAACCUGACCUGUUCAGAGAGGCAAAAGAGUUUUUAGCUGCCAGUCCAACAGGGUGGUUAACUUGUUUUGGUUUAUCAGGAACUUUCCUAGUUUGAACACUGAAAUUCCCACACCCCAGAAAACCCCCCAGUCCCAGGCAAACUAGGAUGGCCAGUCACCCUAAAAUCAAAGUACCUAGGCUUUGGCACCUGAAUAUCAGUUUUCUAAUCUAUAAAAUAAGAUUGGCUGUAUCCAUUUGGGAUUGGCUGACAUAGUUUCUAAGGUAACUAUCAUAUCUGUGAGUCUGUGAUUUGUUCUCAUGCUCCUGACCUUGCCCAUCUACAGCCUAUCUCCUGGAGAAAAUUCAUUUGCUCCAAGUCCUGAGUCCACAUAACCUGAUAAACUUAAUGGGAGAGAGGUUGAUAGGGUUUACAGCUGCAUUUCAACAAUGGCUCAGGGAGGAAGGAUGUGGCCAUAGCCAAGUGGCUCUCCUGGUGAGAAGUUCUGCUGGGGAUGGGGUAUGUGGCUCUGUGCCACCCCAGGAGGAAGAUAGUCUUAGGCAGGCAGGUUUGGGGGCAGCCAGACCAGGAAAUUUGGUUUGGUUUGAUGGGCUGGUUUCAGCAGCAGGGAAGGAAAAGGCCAUAGGCAGGGCGGUCUUGUCUAACUUGAGCCAGCUUUCACACUCUGACCUGAAUAAAGUCAGCAGUUGAAACCAGAGACUGCAGAAGAAAGGAAGUAGUCUAUUGAUAGCACUCUUUUUUUUUUUUUUUAAUGCAUUUGCUCCUAGCCUGUGUCUGUCAUCUAAAAAUACAAAUAAGCAGCUAUCAUUCUGGAGAAGUUGAGAGUUCAACCCUGGAAUCAACGCCUACUAACUUUAUGACAGUGGGCAAGUAGUUGGUUAAAUCAUAUGAAUUUACUGAUAUUUGACCUUUUCAAUCUACAAAAAUAGCAAUUCUACAUGGUUCAGCCUGAUAACCAGCUUUCUUCUCUUGGUUUCCUCCUGUAUGAAAUGUAGAUAGAUACCAAUCUUAGGAGGACUAAGUGAGAGAAGAUAUAGAAGGUGGUCAGACAGUCCCUGGCACACAGUCCCUGCUCACUCAUUGGCUAUAUGGACACCACCAUCGUUACUAGUUAAGAAGCAUGCAGGAUCUUUAGACUUCAUCAACUGAACCUAGGAGGGCCUAACUCUACUAGGACAGAAGACAUGGACAAACCAACAAAAUCUGGUUACCUUAAUAAACUGUGGAACUUCUUAAUCCCAGGUGAAGAAAGAAUAUGUUCAUACCAUAGGUUUUUCAGGUGGUUUGAAGAACUGAAAUUUCAUCCCUUUUCCCAGUCCAAACAAUCAGUUGCAAAGCACAGAAAGGUCUUUUAUCCUUCGAUCUGGCUCUACUGUUGGGCCCCAUCUUCAGUAUUAACAUCUGUUUAUAGCAACCGCAUCUUAUUCAACUUAACUGUAUGCACAUACAAUGUGUAAGCAUUGUGAAGCUCACACAAAUAUGACAGGCUUGUCAUUAUCAGAGUACAACAAAAGUUACAAUGGAUUUCUCUCAAUAACUAACAGGAAGCAAUAAAAAGAGUGGAAACAAAAGAUUUGCUGUAGUAUUUUCAUCUAAGCAAAUACAAUUUAUUAACUUAAGCAAAGGCUCUUGGGCUUUUUAUAGCUCAAGGAUUCUAGGAAAUAACUCUCUUACAUAUAAUGAGGAAGUGCAUCUUUAGGUCUCUAUAUUUUUGUUCCCUAUAACAUUCCUAUGUUUAAUCUUUUCCAGUUUAUACCCUUGAUGAUAAAAUAAUCUGUUCAACAGGGGACACUAUAGUCCUUAAGUCAAAUGAUGGCUAGGGGGAUUCUGCUGACUCCAAGGCCAGUUCUUCCCACUGUGUGGAUCCCAGAUGUCAGAAAUUUAAAAGAGAAAAGAGCUUUGAACUUGGCUUGGCUUAAACUCUCCCUCUCAAGCUAACCUCUUUCAAAUGUGAGAAAGUUCAGUUCUCAACUUGCAUUAACAAAAGGUGUUUACAACAGAAUGCCUGGCUGUUCCUAAUAAUGGCUUUGCUUUUUGAAUUAAUUCCUCACUGAUGACAAAGACUGAGCUUUUGAACUUCUGGGUAUGGCUAGGCAGGGCAUUUUUACUUGGCUUGGCUCUUUACAUGGUAGAAAAGGCUUGGUUGGGCACCUGGCAUUUGUGGCCAAUAAUUAUAUUACAAUUGUUACUGUGCAUUACCGAAACUUCAGUUUUGACUAAAAGCCAACUGUACUCUUUAAAACAAACAUCUUUUGAAAGCCUAGUGUGCUUUUAAAUGAUCUUAAAAAUCCAUUUUAUAAGGUUUGGUACAAACUAGAUUUUUUUAAAGUCGGUUUUUGUUGUUGUUUUUAAACAAGGUUUUGCUUUAAGGAAGUAUCUCUUUGCCUAUAAAUUGGUGUAAGUUCCUUCAGCUUUAAUAAGCAGUGUGACCUCUCAUCUGAGACAUAAUGCCUCCUUGUCUCUUGUCCCUUCAUCAGUGUGGAUGUCUUUCCACACCAACAUGUUUGCUUACCCCAUUGACUUAUUCCAGAGCAUGUGCUCACAACUGAGGCAGGGGAGGUGAUAAACAGCUAAAUAGCCAGAGAAACAAAUCAUUGUUUUCACAUUUAGGAUUAAUUAGGGCUUGUAUGUAGCUCAGUGGUAGAGCACUUUGUCUAUCAUGUGCAUAGUGGCCCUGGGUUCAAUUCCUAUCACUGCAAAAAAAAAAAAAAAAAAGGAGAGAGAAAGAAGAGUCAGUUGUCCAUGGACAGACUUUCAUGGUUGUAAGUUUUCAGGUCCCAAUUCUUAACUGAAAACUUGAUCACCAAGGUAGUAGGAUCAAGCCAUGAAGGAUGGAGCCAUAGGGGUUUAGGUUUGUGCACGGAGCUGGGAUUUAAAGACGCAUCCAGCAGGAGAAGCCUAAUCUGUUAGUUUCCAAAUGGAAUAACUCUCAUCAGUGCUUCUCUUCACUGUUAGAUUCAGAACAAUGACACAGAUAUUUGCUUCACAAGGAGGACCUGGAGAAGUUACAUGUGAUACACAUGUGACUGAGAAAUGGUUUUUUCCUGGUAUUCCCCUGCCCCUCCUCCUUGCCUCCAUGCCUUGGACAGCAGGCCAUUGUUGCAUUGCCUCAAGGUGGGGGAAUGAUAUAUUAGGAUAAAAAGCAAAACAAGAACAACAUAACUUUUGUGAGUUGUAUGUUAUGUUAAAAAACCUCUCUGAGGUCUAGACAGGAUUUGAAGUACAGCCACAGUAUUCUGGAGGAAAAAGGUGUGAGGAGAGUAGGGCUUUCCUGGAAGAUUAGAAACACUUCCCUCUGCUAAUGGGAGGAAAGAUGGAUGAACAGCCAGAGGAUAAAAAAAGCAUGAGUAGGUCCUUCCCUACUACCUCACUUUAAGAGGAGGUAGCAAGCCUAGGGAGAAAAAUGGCUGUGUGCUGAUGGCCUACGGAAUUUCCCAACACCUGGAGUGGGCCCCAAGGUAGCAGGGAGCUGUUGAACAUUACUGUGAACUGAAAGGAGGCACAGACUUAACACUGUCAGUAAAGAAGGACUAGAAAAAAACCAUAGACAUCUUGGUUGGUGCCUCCUCCAAAACCAGACUUAAAAAACAAAUAGAUCUCCUAGUACCUUGGCACUACCUAACCACACUAACCACCCUUUCCACUCCCACCCUAGACAUAGAUACCUUCGUAAAGGUAGACAAAUACUGAAAUGAUGGAAGUCAUGAAUGACACCUCCCAAUAUAGAGUGCAGACUUGAAACAUACAUUAGGUUGAUUGACAAAGGAAUAAGUAAAUCUUUCUUGCAUACUUGAGUUUGUACACUGAAAUCUUUGCAUCUGGUUUGAACUUCUGGGGAUGGCCUCAUGGUGCAGUGGAAAGAUUAUUAAUUGAGAAUGAUAGAAGCAAAUUUCUGUCACUUAGAGGGUGACUUUGGACAAGUCAUGAAACUACCCUGAGUCUCAAGAUCCUCACCCAUAAAAUGUGGAUAAUAAAACCUCUCCUGACAAUUCAGUUGUGUAGUGAGGAAAGGGAUGUCACAGAGUACUGUUUGAGGCAGCAAGGCAGCCUACAUAAUAGUACCAAAUGCCAAACAUAAUUAGAAAAAAAUACUAGUUAAUUCCAACCUGUAGGAACUUGUAGCAAAGGCUGACCAGAUAUUUUUCAGUUUCAUUUACUCUUCCUGGCAUACAAAAAGGACAUUUUCCAGCCUUUGUUGCAAAGUUAGGAUAGAGCCAUAUUAUUGGAUUCUGGCUGACAGGAUAUAGCAGAAGUAAUAAUGGGUGGUGCUUGCAGACUUAGCCACAGAUCCUGCUGUGUGGUCUUAUAUAUACUCUAUUCUUCCCCUGUGCCAGUGUUGAAGAUGUUGGCCUUUUAAGAUCAAUGGGGCUUGAAUUCCCAGGUCACCAUUUGGAGGUAUCACCCGGGAAAGCUCCCAGUUUACACUAGAUCGUGAUGCAUGAGAAACUUUCAUCAUGUCAAGUCAAUAAUAUUUUGGGGGCUUUGUGUUGAUGUAACCUAUCUACCCUAUCCUAACACCAUACUAUAGUAAAUAAUAAUUAUAGAACAUAUUGCUGUAAUAGAAGUUAUACGUAUUAUGUAUGUAUGCAUAUACAUAUAGAUGAGAUGUCUCAAAGCAUGAAGGAGUGGCUCAGUCAAUAUCUUUCCUUCCAUAUUACAAAGAACAUAAAAGUUCUCCUCUUGGGCAAAGAUGUCAUAAGCACAAGUCACGAUGACAUUCAAGUCUGUCUGACUUGCACAGCGGAAGCACAUUCACCUAGAAAGCUGGAGGAAUCUCUCACUUGGAGUUGAUACCUGUAUGGGUACUCUGCACUGAUGAAGAUGAUACUCUGAGAUGAUACUCUGAGAUGAACGUAUCAUCUCAGCUGCUGAGCCCUUUUCUUGCCUGAUCUAGUUGGCCACUUGUACUAGUCCCUCUUCAUCUCAAACUCUCUGUGGGCCCUGGCAUUCUAACAUCAGGGGAUGCUCUGGACCUAGGUAAUGAGGAAAGUCUGUUCUGUAGGGAGCACACAGCUGUUACAAAACAUCUCAAAGCAGUAGGUUUUGCCUGUUUGCUUAUUGCUACACACAUUCCCCAAAUGGUUUCAGCAUACAUACACAUUUGCUACUCAAACCACCAGAGCAGUUGGAACCAUUGACUGUACCCAGAGACUGAAACCUCACUGCAACCCUGGAAGCUGCUCAUGCAGGCAGUAGUGGUAUUUUCCCCAGAAACUACACUCUCUUUGUUCAGAGCUGGCUAGAGACACAGUUAUCUUUGAGGCCUGGGGCUUCAAAUUACCUUUGCUACAAGCCUGGUCAUCACCUCUCCCUGGAUAAGGCUUUAUUCUAACACAGCCAGUGGGUAGGAUCCCUAGGGAGAACCAGGCAUUUCAUUUCUCCAUUAACAAAGACUCCCCCUCUUUGGGACCAGUUAGCUGGCUUUUGACCCGUGGCAGAGAAUCUUGCCCAGUGGUCAUGCAGACUUGGGCCACUGGUCACAGAGGAUGAAUGAAGAGCCACGAAUACAACAGGAAAUCUGACAUCAUAACUGAAUGAAAUCUCAAAACUCCCAUCCUGCUGAACUCUGGUAAGUGCUGUUGUUACAUAACCUUCAGAUAAAUGUCACUACUCUUCAGGAAAAGAAGGCAUUAGUACACUUUCUAUAAGUAUUUUCAUUAUUGUGAUGAAAAUUGGUAACCUUAAGUACAAAGAUACUUUAGCUGUAUUUAGUUGUUUGACAGUGCUGGGGCCUCAUGCAUGCUAGGCAAGCACUCUUCCACUGGACUGCAUCCCCAGCCCUACUUUAGCUCUUUUUAACUGUUGCUUUCUAACAUAAAGUUGGUUUUUUUAAAUCAUGAAAUUAUUUUGUGCCGAUUAUAGUAAAUUUUAAAGUACAAAAAGGUAUGUACAGUUUUUGCAUAACACUAAUCAGCUUUUGCCUUGUGAUGUAGUUAACCAUGUAUGUCUUUCUCCCCUUCAUAUGUUCUUGAUGGAAGAAAUGAUAGCAAUAUCUUUAGUUUUGUAUAGCUCAUAACACCCACCACAAACAUUAAAUGUUUGUGAAUGAAUGUCAUGACCUUCCAUCCUCCAGGUCUGUUCAACAGAAAUAACCACUAAUUCCAGCUUCUUGUAUAUAUCUCUAUGGAUAUAUAUAUAUAUAUAUAUAUAUAUAUAUAUAUAUAUAACAAAUAUGUUGUAGAUAACAAACAACUGUGUAUGCAAGUGCAUAUGUGAUCCAUUUCUUUCUAAAAAUAUUAAUAUAGCAUGCCAUAUAUAUUAGUUUGCAAUAGUUUUUUCAAAUACUUUUUUUUUCUUGCAGAUGGACACAAUAUCUUUAUUUUAUUAUUUUUAUGUGGUGCUUAGAAUCAAAUCCAGUACCUCACGCCUGCAAGGCAAGCAUUCUACCACUGAACUACAACACCAGACGGCAAUAGUUCCCCCUGCACCCCUCACUCUGGGGCGCCAGGGAUCUAACCCAGAACCUUAUGCAUGCUAGGCAAGCAAGUCCUUUAUCACUAAGCUACACACCUCCAGCCCUAUUUUGCUAUCUGAAAACACACACACACACACACAAUUUUACAAUUUUUUUUUUCUUUUUGCAGUUCUGGGGAUCAAACCAAGGCCUCUAUAUCCUAGGCACUUUACCACUAAGCUAAAUUUCCAGCUCCUGAAAUCUGCUUUUUUCACUUAGGAAUAUAUCUUGAUGAUAUACAUUAAUACAUAUAGAUAUGAUUGCUCUUUUUUUGUGUGUCUCACCCCAUUGCAGUGCUACAGUAUAAAUCAUUUAACUAGUCUCUAUAAACAGUGUGUGUGUGUGUGUGUGUGUGUGUAAAGACUCCUCUGGGCUGUGCCAGCAUGGGACUCCUCUCCAACAUCCUUCCCUAGAAUUCAUCCUCUUCUAAAUCAGAGAUCCAGAUCACAGGUGGUGGACUGCUGUCUGAGUGAGAACUUCCAAGACCAAGGACCCUGGCUGACAAGUUCGUAUGCUUGAUUCUUAAGAAGGAACUGAGAGGGCUGGGGUUGUAGCUCUGUGGUAGAGUGUUUGCCUCGCAUGUGGAAGGCACUGGGUUUGAUCCUCAGCAGCACAUAAAAAUAAAAAAUAAAGGUAUUGUGUCCAUCUACAACUAAUAAAAUAUAUGUAUAUAAAAAGAAGGAACUGAGAGUCUUCUGCAACAAUUGACAUUCUGGAUAGCCAAACAGAUGGGCUUAUGUCUUUUCUCUGCUCCUAGUAGAUUCACAGUUUGUUUUUUAUUUUUAUUUUUUUAGUUGUAGAUGUAAACAAUACCUUUAUUUUAUUUCUUUAUUUUUUAUAUGGUACCAGAGGGCAGGGUGAUUGAACCCAGUGCCUCACACAUGCUAGGCAAGCGCUCUACCACUAAGCCACAACCCUAGCCCACAGAUUCACAGUUUUAACCCAUUCUGCAUACUUAAAAUAUUUUUUCUUCCUUUCCAUUUUUUUUUGCAGUGGUAGGGAUGGAACCCAGACCUCAUUCAUACUAGACAAGUGCUCUACCACUGAGCCUCACCCCAGCCAAGUCCCCAGCCUUUAAAAUUGUUUUUUAACUUCAAGUUUGGGAGAUUGAAUUAAUUAUACUCCUUAUUCCAAAGUACCUCCUCCUCUUUAGUCUCUUCAAGGUCCCUCUCUUAUUUUAUCUAUCUAUCUAUCUAUCUAUCUAUCUAUCUAUCUAUCUAUCUAGUAUUUGUCCCUCCUUCCAAACUAUUUCCUCUUACCAAAGCAACCAUUCUUCUCUAUUUAAUUGAAUGUGUUUCUUUUUUUUGGCAGGGGGUGAGUACUGGGUUUUGAAUCCAGGGGUGCUCUACUAAUGAACAAUAUCCAUAACCCCCCCUUUUUAUAACCUGUACACAUAUUUUUAAAAAUUACUUGAAUCUAAUAGUAAUUGGUCAUAAAAUAUGUAAUUAUCAUUUUUUAAAUUUUGAAUUUAUUCUAAUUUGUUAUACACGAGAGCAGAAUGCAUUUCAAUUCAUAGUACACAUAUAGAGCACAAUUUUUCAUGUCUCUGGUUGUACACAAAGUAGAGUCACACCAUCUCAUUCCACCAUCUUUCCAACCCCCUUGCCCCUCACUUCCCCUCCCUCCCCUUUGCCCAAUCAAAGUUCCUUCAUUCUUCCCAUGCUUCUCCCCACCCCAUUCCCAUUAUGGAUCAGCAUCCACAUAUCAGAGAAAACAUUUAGCCUUUGGGUUUGGGGGAUUGGCUUACUUCACCUAGCAUGAUAUUCUCCAACUCCAUCCAUUUACCUGAAAAUGCCAUGAUUUUAUUCUCUUUUAAUGCUGAGUAAUAUUCCAUUGUGUAUCUACACCACAGUUUCUUUAUCAAUUCAUCAGUUGAAGGGCAUCUAUAUUGGUUCCACUAUUUAGCUAUUGUGAAUUGUGCUGCUAUAAACACUGAUGUGUCUGCAUCACUGUAGUAUGCUGUUUUUAAGUCCUUUGGUAUAAACUGAGGAAUGGGAUAGCUGGGUCAAAUGGUGGUUCCUCCAGGUUUUCCAAGGAAUCUUCAUACUGCUUUCCAGAUUGGUUGCACCAAUUUGCAGUCCUACCAGCAAUGUAUGAAUGUGUCUUUUCCCCCACAUCCUCACCAACACUUAUUGUUGUUUGUAUCCUUAAUAGCUACCAUUCUUACUGCAGUAAGAUGAAAUCUUACAGUAAUUUUGAUUUGCAUUUCUCUAAUUGCUAGAGAUGUUGAACAUUUUUUCAUACAUUUGUCUAUUGAUUGUAUAUCGUGUCUGUUCAGUUCCUUGGCCCAUUUGUUGAUUGGGUCAUUUGCUUUCUUUCUUUCUUUCUUUUUUUUUGUGUUUUUUUUGGUUUUUUGAGAUUUUUAUGUAUACUAGACAUUAGUGCUCCAUCUGAUGUGCAUAUGGUAAAAACUUGCCCCCAUUCUGUAGGCUCUCUCUUCACCUCACUGAUUGUUUCUUUUGCUGAGAAGAAGCUUUUUAGUUUGAAUCCAUCCCAUUUAUUGAUUCUUGAUUUUAUUUCUUGCACUAUAGGAGUCUUAUUAAGGAAGUCAGGGCUUAAUCUGACAUGAUAAAGAUUUGGGCCUACUUUUUCUUCUAUUAGGCACAGGGUUUCUGGCUUAAUUCCUAGGUCCUUUAUCCACUUUGAGUUGAGUUUUGUGCUGGUGACAGAUAGGGGUUUAAUUUCAUUUUGUUGCAUAUGGAUUUCCAGUUUUCCCAGCACCAUUUGUUGAAGAGAUUAUCUUUUCUCCAAUAUAUGUUUUUGAUGCCUUUGUCUAGUAUGAGAUAACUGUUUUUAUGUGGGUUUGUCUCUGUGUCCUCUAUUCUGUACCAUUGGUCUACAAGUCUGUUUUGGUGCCAGUACCAUGCUGUUUUUGUUACUAUUGCUCUGUAGUAGAGUUUGAGGUCUGAUAUAGUGAUGCCACCUACUUCACUCUUCUUGCCAAGGAUUGCUUUGGUAUUUUGGGUCUCUUAUUUUUCCAGAUGAAUUUCAUGAUUGCUUUUUCUAUUUCUCUGAGGAAUGUCAUUGGGAUUUUUAUUGGAAUUGUAUUAAAUCUGUUUAGUGCUUUUGGUAGUAUGGUCAUUUUGACAGUGUUAAUUCUGUCUAUCCAAGAACAAGGGAGAUCUUUCUGUCUUCUAAGGUCUUCUUUAUUUUUUUUUUCUUUAGUGUUCUGUAAUUUUCAUUGUAGAGGUCUUUUUCACCUCUUUGAAUCCCAAGUAUUUUAUUUUAUUUUGAGGCUAUUGUAAUUGGGGUAGUUUUCCUAGUUUCUCUUUCAGAGGAUUUGUUACUGAUAUACAGAAAUGCCUUUGAUUUAUGGGUGUUGAUUUUGUAUCCUACUACUUUGCUGAAUUAAUGUAUUAGAAGUUUUCUGGUGAGAUUUUUUUUGGAUCCUCUAGGUAUAGAAUCAUGGCUUCAGCAAAUAGUGAUAAUUUGAGUUCUUCUUUUCCUAUCCAUAUCCCUUUAAUUUCUUUCAUCUGUCUAAUUGUUCUGGCUAGAGUUUCAAGAACUAUAUUUAAUAGAAGUAGUGAAAGAAGGCAUUCCUGUCUUGUUCCAGUUUUUAGAGGAAAUUCUUUCCAUUUUUCUCCAUUUAGAAUGAUGUUGGCUUUGGGCUUAGCAUAGAAAACUUACAAUGUUGAGAUAUGUUCCUGUUAUCCCGAGUUUUUAUAGUGUUUUGAACAUGAAGAGGUGCUGUAUUUUGUCAAAUGCCUUUUCUGCACCAAUUGAGAUGAUCAUAUGAUUUUUAUCUUUAAGUCUAUUGAUGUGAUGAAUUACAUUUAUUGAAAUCUGUAUGUUGAACCAACCUUACAUCCCUGGAAUGAACCCCACUUGAUUGUGGUGGACUAUGUUUUUGAUAUGUUUUUGUAUUUGAUUUGUCAGAAUUUUAUUGAGAAUUUUUGCAUCUAUGUUCAUUUGAGAUAUUGGUCUAAAGUUUUCUUUCUUUGAUGUGUCUGUGCCUGGUUUUGGAAUCACAGUGAUAUCGCCUCAUAGAAUGAGUUUGGAAGUGUUUCCUCUUUUUCUAUUUCAUGAAAUAAUUUGAGGAGUAUUGGUAUUAGUUCUUCUUUGAAGGUCUUGUAGAGCUGUGUAUUCAUCUGGUCCUGGGCUUUUUCUUGGUUGGUAGGCUUCUGAUGGAGUCUUCUAUUUCAUUGCUUGAAAUUGAUCUGUUUAACUUGUGUAUAUAAUUCUGAUUCAGUUUGGGCAAAUCAUAGGACUCUAGAAAUUUGUCAAUGCCUUUGAUAUUUUCUAUUUAUUGGAUACAAAUUUUCAAAAUAAUUUCUAAUUAUCUUCUGUAUUUCUGUAGUGUCCAUUGUGAUAUUUCCUUUUUUAUCACAGAUGUUAGUAAUUUGAGUUUUCUUUCUCUUUCUCUUUAUGAGCAUGGGUAAGGAUUUAUCAAUUUUAUUUAUUUGUUCAAAGACCAAUUUUUGGUUUUUAUCAUUUUUUUCAAUUGUUUCUUUUGUUUCAAUUUCAUUGAUUUCAGCUCUAAUUUUAAUAAUUUCCUGUCUUCUACUGCUUUUGGUGUUGAUUUUUUCUUAUUUUUCUAGGGCUUUGAGAUGUAAUGUUAGGUCAUUUAUUUGUUGACUUUGUCUUCCUUUAAGGAAUGAACUCCAUUCAAUGAACUUUCCUUUUAGUACUGCCUUCAUGUGUCCCAGAUAUUUUUGAUAUGUUGUAUCAGUGUUAUCAUUUACCUCUAAGAAUUUUCUAAUCUCCUCUUUGAUGUCUUCUGCAACUCAUUGUUCAUUCAAUAGCAUAUUAUUUAGUCUCCAGGUGUUGGAGUAGCUUCUAUUUUUUAUUUUAUCAUUGAUUUCUAAUUUCAUUCCAUUAUGACCUUUUAGAUUACAGGGUAGUAUCUCUACUUUUUUGUAUUUGCCAAGAGUUGCUUUGCGGCAUAAUAUAUGGUCUAUUUUAGAUAAGGACCAUGUGCUGAUGAAAAUAAAGUGUUUUCACUCAUUGAUAGAUGAAUAUUUUAUAUAUCUCUGUUGAGUUUAAGUUAUUGAUUGUAUUAUUGAGUUCUAUAGUUUCUCUGUUUACCUUCUGUUUGGAAGAUCUAUCAAGUGGUGAGAGAAGUGUGUUAAAGUCACUGAAAAUUAUUGUGUUGUGGUCUAUUUGCUCUUGAACUUGAGAAAGAGUUUGUUUGAUGAACGUGGAUGCUUUGUUUGGGGCAUACAUAUUUAUAAUUUUUAUGUCUUGUUGAUGUAUGGGUUCCCUUAAGCAGUAUGAAAUGUCCUUCUUUAUCUUUUUUGAUUAACUUUGGCUUGAAGUCUACUUUAUUUGAUAUGAGGAUGGAAACCCCUGCUUAUUUCCACAGUCCAUGAGAGUGGUAUGUUUUUUCCCAACCUUCCACCUUUAGUCUGUGGGUGUCUUUUCCUAUGAAACGAGUCUGUGGGAGGCAGCAUAUUGUUGGUUCUUUUUUUUUAUUAUUAUUUAUUUAUCUAAUCUUCCAGUCUAUGUCUUUUGAUGGUAAGUUUAGGCCAUUAACAUUUAGGGUUAUUAUUGAGACAUGAUUUGUAUUCCCAGUCAUUCUUGUUUAUUUUUGUUAUUUAACUUGACUACAUUUUUCCUUUGAAUGUUUUUUCCUUUAGUGUAAUACCUCUCUUUGCUGAUUUUCAUUGUUGUUUUUCAUUUCCUCCUAGUGGAAUAUUUUUCCAAGGAUGUUCUGUAGUGCAGGCUUUCUAGUUUUAAAUUCUUUUAACUUUUGUUUACCGUGGAAGGUUUUUAUUUCAUCAUCAAAUCUAAAUAUUAAUUUUGGUAGAGAAAAUUCUUGGUUGGCAUCAGUUUUCUUUUAGUGCUUGGUAUAUGUUGUUUCAAGAUCUUCUAGCUUUCAGGGUCUGGUUUGAAAAAUCUGUAGCGGUCCUAAUUGUUUUCCCCCUAUGUAUAAUCUGAUUCCUUUCUCUUGUGGCUUUUCAAAUUCUCUGCUUAUUCUAUGUGCUAGGCAUUUUCAUUAUAAUAUGCCUUGGUGUAGAUCUGUUGUGAUUUUAUAUAUUUGGUGUCCUGUAAGCCUCAUAUAUUUGAUUUUCCAAUUCAUUGUUCAGUUUGGGAAAUUUUCUGAUAUUAUCUCAUUGAAUAGAUUGUUCAUUCCUUUGGUUUGUAACUCUAUGUCUCCCUCUAUCCCAAUAAUUCUUAAAUUUGGUCUUUUUAUGUUAUUCCAUAAGUCUUGAAUGUUCUGCUCAUGGUUUCUUACCAUCUUCACUGUAGGGUCAACUUUAUUUUCACGAUUAUAAAUUUUGUCUUCAUUGUCUGAGGUCCUGUCUUCCAAGUGAUCUAAUCUGUUGGUGGUGCUUUCUAUUGAGUUUUUAAUUUGGUUUAUUAUUUCUUUCAUUUCAAGAAUUUCUGUUGUUGUUUUUUUUUUUUUCAGAACCUCUAUCUCCUUAUUGAAGUGUUCUUUGGCUUCCUGUAUUUGCUUAUGUAGCUCUUUAUUGAAAUGAUAUUUUGAUGCCUGUGUUUGCUCUCUUAUAUCAUCUUUUAAUUCACAGAACAUUUUAAUUAUGUACAUCCUAAACUCCUUUUCUGUCGUUUCUUCUGUUGCGCUGGCCAUGGAUUCUGACAAUGUAGUACUGUGGUUUGUUUGGGGCACUUUCCCUUGUUUUUUCAUGUUGUUCAUGUGUCUUCCCUUCUAGCACUGAGGAUCUGAGGUGUUACAGUUUUUACCCUAUAGGGUUACAGUGUCUCUGCAGGGUUUCAAUACCUCUCCUUUAAUGGGGAGAACAAUAUUAACAGAUCCCAAUACAAACAAUAUACAGCCUUAAACCAAAUAGUUGUAGAUGUUUACGGUUUUGUCACAAUAUACAGUUCAAUUAUUAUCUACAAUAUAAACAAUAAGUUUGCAAAAGGAUCUACAGUUUCUGCUGGUGGACAAAGAGAGAACAGGAGGUGGGGUGUAGGAUGAGAUGUAAAGGAGAUAGAAGGUGAGGAUAUAGUUAUUAGAUAUUAGGAAGCAUGAAAGAGUAAUCUAAAGAAGUUGGCUAGUAGCAGGAGGAAAGAGAGAAAGUGAUUUUGGGGAGACAAGUAAAUGGGAAGACAAUAGAGUACCAAAAAAACUCAAAUAUAAAUGUUAAGAAAAGUAAAAAAAAGGAAAAAUAGGAGAUCAAAAAAUAUACAACGCAACAAUAAUAUUCUCAGUAACCUAAUUCAUGAAAAGUACUUGGUUUCACAGAUGUUGCUGAUGUGAGGGUGGGAGAAGAGAGAGAAAAGAAAAAGAAAAGGGAGAAAAAAUUUUUUGAAGGAAGUUGCAAGGAUGCUUCCCUUCUCAUCCAAUAUGUGUGGUUGUCUGCUGUUUGCUGGUAACUCUACCCUCAGAUGGUGAAGGUUAUUAGGGUAGAAGGUUUGGUCUUGAGGGACAGAGCUCCUAGAGGUGUGGAUAGCAUUUGUCCUUCCCUGAUGGGAGACUGUACCCCAAGGAUCUCUUCUGGGGUCUGCUCAUGUGAUGUGGGUGUCUGGUCUUAUCUCCUUAAAUCGCCUGUAGACUUCACAAUUCCUGGUCUCUAAUUUAGUCUCUAAACUAUAUCUCACUCACCCCUCUCUUUCUACUUCCCAAUCAGGAACCUUUCUCUCCAGAGGUCUUGUGGGUUCUGCUCUGGGGGCUGCAUACCCAUAGUGGAGAGCUGUUUUGGCAGUUCAGGACUGAACUGUUUUGGCUAUGGACUGGCCAGUAGCCGCAAACACUAUGCCAGGUUAGCGGCUGUAGGGGGAGAGUAGGGAGCUGGGGACUAUAGGUAUCUUGAUAUUGCUUCUAGGCCCCAGCCGGUAGGAGUUGGAAGUUGCCCCAACUAAAGAUGGCAACAAAGAUGUCCCAAGAUGGAGGUGGCUGCUUUCAGAUAUAUGGUGUUGUGUCUGGCAGGGCCCGGGUGGCAUUGGGAGGCGUGUUCAGAGGUGCAGCUCUGUGACAUGCAGUGUUGUGGCUGGUGGCUGUCUCCAGACCCUGUGUGUUGUCCCCAGGUGCAGGCUACUACGUGUAGGGGACUAUGGCAGUGGUUGCAGUGUCCCAAGAUGGAGGCAAAGCAGGGAGCCCCAUGUUGGUAGAUGGGGGUCCACACGGGAGUAGUGGCCAGAGGUCCUGCAUGUGGGCAGCAGCCAGGGUCCUGUGUAGGAGUGGCAGCUGGGAUUCCUGCAUGGGUGGGCAGCUAGAGGUCCUGGUGGGUGCUGAUGCUGGUGGUCCUGCUUGGCACAGUGGCUGGGAAUCCUGUGUGGGAGCAGCUGUCAGGAAUCCUCUAAUAACUCGCAGAGAAACAGUAUUCCCACUACUUGAAUCCCAGGUCAUGGAGCCACACAGAAUGCAGCCUCCUUCUAGUCUGCCAUCUUCGAUCUCCUAUUCCCAGCCCUUUUAAUUUUAUUUGAGACAGGGUCUCACUAAGUUGCCAAGGUUUCCCUUGAAUUUGUAAUCCUCCUGCCUCAGAACCCAGAGUACCUGGAAUUAUAGGCAUGUUUCACCAUGCCUGGCUAAUAUGUAUCUUUCAGUGUGUGUGAGUUGUAUAAGCUGGUUGUAACACAGGUUGUGUUAUUAUAUUGUGUGUAGCUUCUUAUUCACUCUUCUAAGGACAGCAAUGUAUGUGUAUUUCACUUACACCAGACUGCUGCUGCUAUUGGCUGUCCUCAAAUGCUCAAACCACUAUUCUACAAAAUACUAGACCAUUCUGUUGGUGAGCAUAGAGGCAUAAAGUGAAUCUGAGAGCCUGGAGAUCAUGUAGUCUUGGUUCAAUUUCCAACUAACAGGUUUGAGUAAUAUAUUUAGAUAUCUUAAAAGGCAGCAUGAUAAAAGGAUAAGCUAGAAACUUGGAGGUUUAAGAGUUGGCUGGGAGUCAGGCUCCCUUAACUUCUAUCGGCUUCCCAAACCCCAGGUCACCCCAAAUAGUAACAAACCAUGUAAACAUGACGAGCUUUGCAUAGCUCAUAGCUUUAGGACAAGUACUUAGGCCUCUCACUUCUAAUCAGUCCUUUACAGAGGACUGUGUCCACCUACACUGACUGUUAGUGGAGUACCAAGUCAAUUCCCAAGAUGGUCUCAAGUUAGAGGCAUAAUUUAAUUUAUGAACUAAUAUAGUCAUCCCAAACUCAGAUCCAUUUGAGGUCAAAAGCAGUUUCCCCAGUGUUCAGAAAUUCCUCUCUGAACUUCCUGCCACUUUCACCAGCCCCCAUUCUUCCUCCUCUCCCUCUAUUCUUUUCUAUUAUCAGGCCUGAUAUAGGUUGAAUUGUGCUCCACCCCUGGAAGUCCUAGUCCUCAGGACCUUGGAAUAUGACCUUAUUGUGAAAUAAUAUCCACUUGGAUAUAAUUAACUAAGAUCAAGUCAUACUGGAGUAGGAUGGGCCAAACAUGACUGUGUCCAUAUAAGAAGACCAUGUGAAGACACAGAGACAUAAGGAGAAAAUGAUGUAAAGAAGGAGUGAUAAAUCAAUGACCAAGGAACACCAAUGAUAGCCACCUAUCACUAGAAGCUAGGAAAGGGCGAGACAACAGAUUUACCCUCAGAGACUUCAGGAAGAAACAACCCUACCAACACCUUGAUUUUAGACAUCUAGCUUCUAGAACUAUAAGAAUACAAAUUUCUGUUCUUUUAAGCCACCCAAUUUGUAGUACUAUAUGGCAGUCCGGGAGGUAAAUACAAAACUAUACAGUCCUUUCUGAGCCUAGACUCCAUAGGGAGACUGUAUUAGUCCAUUUUCUGUUACUAUAAAGAAAUACCUGAGACUGGGUGCUCAUAAAGAGAAGAGGUUUAUUUAGCUUAUGUUUUAGAAGCUGAAAGUCCAAACAAAAUGACACUAGUUCUGGCCCCCUUAUUUGCAUCACCUUAUGGUUGUGGUUGUCACAAUGGCAGGACUUCAAGCAAGAAGAAAUCACACCACUAGAAAAAGGAGCCAGAGAGCAAGGAAUGGCCCAUAAUGAUCUCUUACUAAGCUCUACUUCUUAAAGGUUUACCACCUCAACACCCCCACCCCACACUGAGGACCAAGCUUCCAAUACAUGAACUCUUGGAGGACAAACCACAUCCAAACCAUAAAUGAGUCACUGAGCAAGGUUUUGACCAGUACCCCUGGUUCCAAUGCCCCUGCCCAGCCAGUCUUGCUAAUCCCAAUUCGGGAUAUAACACACCAUCUAAUUUCCGGCUGCAGUCUGUGGCUGUCCAGAUGAUAGUGAAAUUAGAUGAACUGGUUAUACUGCAAUGUCUCCAACUACAAUUCACUGCUCUCUGAGCCUGAGCAAUUUUCCAUCACACUGAACUAAGUAUCAUAAAGAUUCCUAACUAGUGGGGUGAGAAGGGCUUGCGGUUAAAAUAAAAGCUGGGCCUCCUCAUUGCUUUACUUCAUUUAAAAUUUGUUCUGAAUUUCUAAAAUCAUUAGGGGGAGUUAGGGAAUUCACAUGUUUUGCAGAGGAGUGUAAAGGUAGGUCACAUUUCCCUUCAUGCAUAUCUCUUGUCAGAGAUUAAUACACAGGGAAAGGAGUUUGAAUUCAGGCUUGCCUGACUACUUACCUCUCUUUUUAGCUUGUUUCAACCAGCCUCUUGUUGACUCGCUCCACUAAAAUUGCUCUUUGAAUGAUCAUCAAUGGCCGUUUAGAUACCAAAUCUAAUAAUUCCCCCUCAUUCUUUGUUCUCAUCCUCUCAUUUAAAAUUGAUGACUUUCUCUUCUUUCUUGAAGUUGUCUCUUUGUUCUGCAUUUCUGCUCUUCCAAGUCUUCCCUCUAACUCCAUUUCCUUCUCCUUUUCCCUAAAGUUAUAUCCCAAUAUCAUCUUUGGUCAUUUUUUUAUAGUACUAGAGAUUGAACCCAUGGGCACUUUACUACUGAACUACAGCCUCAGUCCUUUUUUUUUUUUUUUUAAUUCUCGGCAGACACAACAUCUUUGUUUGUAUGUGGUGCUGAGGAUCGAACCCAGGCCGCACGCAUGCCAGGCGAGCACGCUACCGCUUGAGCCACAUCCCCAGCCCCAGCCUCAGUCCUUUUAAAAAUUUUAUUUUGAGACAGAGAAUCUAAGUUGCUGAGGCGGGACUUGAACUUGCAAUCCUCUUGCCUCAACCUCCUCAGUCACUGUGAUUAUAGACCUGCAUGCCUGCCCAACUUCCUUGGUCAUCUUGUUGUCGUUUCUCUGCUCUUUCUUGGUCAUUUCAUUCAAACUCCUAUUUUUCUAUCUACUGGCAUAAUUUUGCAGGGCAUCUGCAAAUCAUCUUGGCCUUGAGCUUUUCUUUCAAGGUCCCCGUUUCUAGCUGCCUCUGGGAUGUCACUAUUGGUUGCCUCCCUACUUUAAACUCAACAUGCCUGCAAAUGGACUCAAGUUUCUCCCCCUAGAGAUUCUACAUAUUUUGUACAUCUUGAGGAAUGUAACACAUGGCCACCAAUGCAGUUCUGACAGUAUGGUGGUGCUCAGGCCACUUCCCCGCUCAGAAAGCUCCAGUGGCUUCCUACAGCCCAAAGUAAAAAGUCCAACCCUAUUGUCCAAUAAUGCCUUGCUCAUAAUCCCAACCCUUCUUUACAACCAAAAUGUUUUCUCUUUUCCUCCCAUGUAGCCUUCAUAGCAGUUAGGCUCAACUUCUUAUUGAGCUCCAAACGCUCCACUCCUUUUGGCUUCCUUCCUUGCCACCUAAGUUUAGAGUCCAUCUUCCUAGAGUAGGCUCCUUUACUCUAUUCCUGAAUUUCCUAAUCAUUCUCAUUCUUCAAAGCUCAGUUCCAAUGUCACUUUCAUAAAGCCAUGAAUGACUGCUCUGUCCUGCCCACCUAACUAGAAGUUACUUCUCUAGUCUCUGAGUUCUCAUAGCUCUUUUUCAAACCUCCUUUUUAUGAACCUAACAUUCAUCUAUGUAUGAAGUUAUUUGUAUGAGUGAUAAUAAAUACCAUUUUUCCCUUUCUCUUUCUGAUGGUGGGGAUCAAAUGCAGAGACUUGUGUGUGGCAGGCAAGAGCUCUACCACUGAGCUACACCCCCAGCUCUCCUUUGUUCAAAUCUUAAUGCAAUCUUGUUUAAUUCUCCUGUUGAUUUUAUGAGUUGUACUAUUAUCCUCAAUUUGCAAGUUAGGAAACUGAGGCACGGAGAGUUCAUCCUUAUCCAAGGGUAAGUAAGUGGGUUCAAAUGAUACAGAUGCAGUCAGCCUCCAGAGUUCAGACUUCUAACUACUACUACAUGAGACACUAUUUUGGUUUAUUAGACAGGAACCUCCUGGAUGGUAAUAACCCUGAUUCCUAAUGCCAUCCAUUAUACUUUAAAGAAGUUUUUGUUUGUAGGUUGUGUGGCACUGGGAACUGAACCCAGGGGCUUUUUAUCAUGGAAUUACAUCCCCAGCAUCCCUUCUUUUUAUUGUGAGAGUCUUGCUUUGUUGCCAAGGCAGGCCUUCAACUUGUGAUCCUGCUGCCUCAGUCUCCCCAGUUGCUGGGAUUAUAGGUAUGUGCCACCACACCCAGGUCACUUUAAAGUUCUGAGAAAAGGAAGAGAGUUCAUUAAAAAUUCUUUUUUUUCUCCUUACUGAGUAAAUUAGUGUCUUUUAUAUGGUAUUUGCUGCAAAUACUAUAGCUCCAUUGCCCCACCACUCUCCAUCUCUUUUUGCCCUCAUGCUCUCAGCCUGUGGAAAAGGGUAUGUUCCAAGGAAGGGCAAAGGGGCCUCCCUCUUCCUAGUCUAAGAAAUCUCAGGAGUUCUCUAGGGCAGUGUAGACUUCCUGAGUAACACUCAAGUGGCAUCCCUCUUCAGCAAGCAAGUACUCUACAUUUGUAACCUCAGCUUGUUCCAGGGAAUGAACUUCUUGAAAUAAACACAGAGGAACAGGACUUUUUAUUAUCUCCAGAUGGGAUUGUACAGGCUUGGAAGCUGUUGAAAUAUUUCUGCUCUGCCUGGAUCAAACUUCUGUUAUCUUCCCAAAGGGAACAAAGUUUCUUUCAUUGAGAAAUAGUAAAUUUUGUGUUAACUAAUUUAAACCAACUUAGAUUAAAUUCCACCAAUAGACCCUCCAAAAUCUAGAUUUUUAUGAUGUGCUUUUUAUUUAAUUUUGUAUCCUCCCCACCUGAUUCACCUUUCCCUCCCCCUAGUAUUGGGAAUUGAACUCAGGGGUAUUCUACCGUUAAGCUAUAUCCCCAACCAUUUUCAUUUUAUUUUGAGACAGAGUCUUUCUAAAUUGUUUAGUCUAGCCUUGAACUUGUGAUCCUCUUCCUCAGGCUCUUGAGUUGCUGGAAUUAUAGGUGUGUGCCAUCACAUUUCUCUCCCUUUUAAAAUCAGAUUUUAGGCUGCAUUGGCAUGUGUGAGGACAUAUACACACAAUUGUGAAAUUGUUUUUGAAUCAUAAAUCGAGGUUUAGUUGUUGUUUUUUAAAAUAAGGAUUAACCUGAAAGUGGAAAUACAAGGCCUUUAAGACAUUUUAUUUUAAUUCCGUUAGUGGCAGUCAGUUGAGCAACUUCCGCACAAAAGGAGUCCAAUAAACAUCUAAUGAAUGAACACCAUAAAUACUUAUGAUUUGGGGCUAUAACAAUAUAAAAUAUAAUUGAAAAAUGAUGGUGCCACCUAUUGGUGAUGAUAUAAAAUGUAACCUUAUCACAGACAUGUCAUUUCAUGUUUCACAAUCAUUUGUUACUUAUUCCCACAGAGAUUCUAAGAGUAACUGAGGAGCUACAAGGAAGGCUUGAAUCAUGUGCAUAUGAGGGAGGCACCAAUGUUUCAACUGGGUUGCUUUCUAUUGGGUGCCUAUUAAGCACUCAGCGCGUUGGAGGAUGCCAGAGAAUUGAAGACUGCCUUCAAUCUCCUGCCUUCAAGGAUCAUCUUAUCUACUUGGGAAGAGACCUACCUACUAAGAACUGUCAACCGAUACAACCAAAUAAUUAACAGCCUGACAUUAAAAUAUAUGAUGUUCAUUCCAUGUGUAUGGAUAUAUUUUAUGUACUGUAUUAUAUGAAAACCAUACUUUCUGAACCCACAGGACAGGAAUAAGAUUGUUUUGUGCACAAUUUACCUCAGGCCUACUAUACCACAGCACCUGGCACUUAGUAGGAAAUUGAUAAAUACUAUUGAAUAACUGAAUAAGUCAGGUAUCAUAGUAAAAUAUAUGUGGCUUAUAGAAUACUUUAAAUCAAGACUGGCAAAACAGAUCAAAAAAUAUGUAUAAUCAUAGGAAAUCCUAUAGAGCAAGUGAAUCUUGAGUUAGAUUCUGGAAAAUUCCUUAAGGGACUUAUAACCUAAUAGAUUGAAACCAUCAGUACAGAGAGACCUCUUGUACCCUUGGAUUUGGUUUGAAUUUGAGAUUUUUGUGGUUUGCUGUGCUAACCCACGCUUUUCCCUCACACAUGGACUGGAUUUUUGCUCGAAGUCCAAAGCAAAAGAAGAGAAGAAGACAGAUGGUGGAUAGUUGCAAGAAUGUAUACAUUAAUUCUACUUGCGGAAGUUUUAUGGGUGGGAAUAAUUCCUGAAGUAGGCAAGCAGCUUGUUUUCCUUCUUCCUACCCUCCAACCCAACUGUGUGCUCCAAAGUAUUCCUAAAAUAUUUGGCAAUAAGUACUACAAAUCUUAAAAAUCAUUGUGUUUUGAUUUAGUAAUUUUCCUUCUAAAAGUAUGUUAAGGAAAUAACCAGAAAUGUGAACAGAAACUUUUUGAAACAAAGAAAAUAUCACUAUUCAGC
rnacentral:lncRNA from 1 species